rnacentral:rRNA from 1 species
CUGAACUGAAACAUCUAAGUAGGCGGAGGAGAAGAAAACAAAAGUGAUUCCGUGAGUAGUGGCGAGCGAAAGCGGAUUAGCCCAAACCGGAGAUGUUACGGCAUUUCCGGGGUUGUAGGACCGCGAUAUUUCCUGCGUAAAGAAUUAGAACCAUCUGGAAAGUUGGGCCAAAGACGGUGACAGCCCGGUACAAGUAAUGAGCGUAAGGGAUAGCGGUAUCCUGAGUAGGGCGGGGCACGUGAA